rnacentral:rRNA from 1 species
CGGACGGGUGAGUAAUGUCUGGGAAACUGCCCGAUGGAGGGGGAUAACUACUGGAAACGGUAGCUAAUACGGCAUAACGUCGCAAGACCAAAGAGGGGGACCUUAGGGCCUCUUGCCAUCGGAUGUGCCCAGAUGGGAUUAGCUAGUAGGUGGGGUAAUGGCUCACCUAGGCGACGAUCCCUAGCUGGUCUGAGAGGAUGACCAGCCACACUGGAACUGAGACACGGUCCAG